GGUGCUUAUUCAGGAUUAGUGUUCACCAUGCAGAAGUAGAUGCAUGGGAGUUUCAAUCAAUCGCGGAAGAAGAAAUGAUAUGCAUUAUAAUUCCAUUAAGCUGGCACGAGUGAUAGAAGGACCAGUUGUCAUGUUGCUCUUGCAAUAGGUAAGAGUUGUGAAAUUUGAAGUGCUAUGCAACCAUGGAAAGAACCAAAUUUGGGAAUUCUAGCACAAAUGGUGAUGUAUUAAAUGAAAGCUAUAAAACAAAAACAUUUCUUAUCAUUUCUUGUUCUUUGAGACUUUUGAGGAUGGGAUCUAGGCUGAAAUCACGUUAUAGCCAUAAAAUUUAGAUAAAUCAGAAAACCAAAUAAGUAUCACCCUUCUGCUUUGUAUCAAAUAUACAUAUAAUUACAAUAUAAGCUGAAUCUAUAACAGUGCCUAACUCCGACUGACAACUGAACUGA
rnacentral:misc_RNA from 1 species